rnacentral:rRNA from 1 species
AUGCAAUGCAAGGAGCUCCCAGCUAGCAAGAUGACAGAUAUCACCAUCUGCACCUCCUCACCGCCAUCACCAGAUGGACCGGCGACGCUUGAACAAGCUGCGUCCAUCGAAGAUGAAGACCCAGAGUUAUUGUACGAGCUGAAAGAGCAGCUUCUGCUGCUGACCACUCUGGUGGCGACGGUGACGUACGUCACCGGGCUCAACCUACCCGGCGGAGCCUGGCAGACGCAGCAGGCGGACGGGCACCUCGCCGGCGACCCCAUCCUCCGGGACAUCCACUACCGCCGGUACCUCGCCUUCUACUACUGCAACGGCACCGCUCUCGCCUCGUCGGUCGUGGUCUGCCUCAUCCUCGUCAUGCUGCAGAGGAAGAGACCCGUCUGGACGCUGGUUCUGCGGGUGGUCAUGGUGCUCGACCUACUUGGCCUCAUGGGUUCCUACGCAGCUGGGACCUGCCAUGACACCUUCGCCACCAUCUGGGCCGUGGCGCUGGCUUGCCCCGUCUUGGCCUAUAUCACGUUUGCUUUCGUCACCAGCCACCGACCCCGCGGCGACGCCAGUACCACCACCAGAGCCACAGCCACAGGCCGGCAUGAAGAGAAGGAGAAGAUCGAGGUGCUGAUGCUGCUGGCGACCUUCGCCGUCACCAUCUCAUACGCCGCCGGGCUGAACCCACCAGGCGGCUUCUGGACCAGCACCCUGCAGAAGGAUGCCCGCCUUCUUCACCUCGCCGGCGACCCGAUCAUGGAAGAUAGCGCGCUCCGGAGGUACCGGGCCUUCUUCGUCUGCAACACGACGGCGUUCGUCGCCUCCUUGUUCAUCAUCCCGCUCCUCCUGGACAAGAAAUUGAGCAGCAAAAUCUCAGCGAGGUUUCUGGCGGUCUACGGCUUCAUCGCCGUGGCCCUCCUGGGCCUCAUGGGGGCCUAUGCUGCUGGAAGCUGCAGGAAAACUGACAGUACCGUCAAGGUCAUCUUCUUGGCUGCUGCGGUUCCGGCUUGCGUAGGCCUUCAGCUGGCACUUAGUUAUGCCUUCAAUGUGAAACCAAUCAAGGUCAUGCGUGCUUCGUUCUCCGGAUGGUUGCACUACUUAAGAGGCACUGGCGGUCCUGCAGGUGCAGGUGAUGAGGAAUUGGGGAUAAGAUGCUUAUCUUUAUGUCAAGAUGCCAGUGCACUUGAGGACCCAGACCUGAAAAACACUCGCUAUUUUGUUAUGGUACUUGCUAGCUUCGCGGUGAGCAUCACUUACCAAGCAGGACUGGAUCCACCAGGCGGGCUAUGGCAAGACAAACUGGAUGGCCAUAAGAUUGGCCAGCCAGUGCUACGAACGACACACCCUACUCGUUACCAGGUGUUCUUCUACAGCAACUCAGCAGCUUUCGUGACAUCUCUGGUGGUUGUCAUGAUGGUCCAGAGCAAGUUUCUACUCAAGCGCCGCACGUUGGUGGCAGCCAUGGUGUUGGACCUGCUCGGCCUCGUCAUCGCCUAUGCUGCUGGGUGCACCAGGGAUACCAGCACAUCCAUCUAUGUUGUCGCGGUGGCUUGCCUUGUCCUCUCCUACGCCGUCGUCCAUAUCUCGUUAGGAGGAGAGAGGGAGAACAUGGUUACUAGACCUGAUCAUGAUCCUGAUCCUGCUAUGGUUGCUCCUGAUCCUGCUCUGGUUGCUCCUGAUCCUGCUAUGGUUGCUCCUGUUCCUGCUACUCCUGCUCCUGCUCUUCCUGUAGUAGGAGGAGGACAACGCCAGCCGCGGCGAACACCACGAAGCAAGGAGCAGCUAGAUGACAAGCGCCAGGUGUUGUUGUUAAUCGCCAUCUUAGCGGCAGCACUUACCUACCAAGCCGGGCUCACCCCGCCGGGUGGCUUCUGGCAAGUGGACGAUGAGAAGCUUGGACACCGCGCGGGCUACCCGGUCCUCCUCGACAACUACCCGCGUCGCUACAAGGCCUUCUUCUACUGCAACGCGGCGAGCUUCAUGUCGUCGGUGGCUCUCAUCCUCCUCCUCGUCAACCGCAAGCUGUACAGGCCGGGAAUACGGUGCUACGCGCUCCACGUGUGCAUGGCGGUGGGCAUGUUCGCGCUCAUGGGAGCCUAUGCUGCCGGGAGCUCACGGCAUCUCAAGACCUCCAUCUAUGUGUUGACGCUGGUGGCGGUGGUGUCGGCCUCCAUACCCCUACAGGUAGCCAUCUUCUGGUACUUCGGCAACUGCAUGGACAACCGUCACGAUCAACCUAGAAUAAGACGACGACGAGCACGUGGACAAGAUGACCCUGAUAAAGAGAAAGACGAGGAACUUGAGUACCUGAUGCUGCUGGCAGUCCUGGCUGCGAGUGUGACGUACCAGAACGGCCUGAGGCCAGCGGGCGGCAUGUGGCAGGAGGACAGUGGCGCCUACACCGCCGGCAACCCCAUCCUCCGCGACAUCAACAAGCGCCGGUACGACAUCUUCCUGUACAGCAACUCCACUUCUUUCAUGGCGUCCGUCGUCGCCAUCGUCAUGCUGCUGCCAUUGACGCUGAGCGACGACGUCAGAUGGCUACAACGUUGCUUGCCGUUCCACAGGGUGGACCUCAAGUGGUCGCUCUGGCCGGUCCACACGGCCAUUUUGCUGGACAUGCUCGGCCUACUUGUGGCCUACGCGGCAGGAGGUACCAGGAAGUGGGGGUCGUCCAGAAAUGUGAUAUUAAUCGUCCUCCCCGUCCUAGCCUACAUCGCGCUCUACGCAAUGGCGGCGGCGAUAUACAUAUACAUCCGCCGCAGAUCCUCCCAGUCAUCGAGCAGGCAAGCAGGGCAACAAGCCGAGUCUUCCUCUUAG